UUCAGAUCGCAGUCUGCAACUCGACUGCGUGAAGUCGGAAUCGCUAGUAAUCGCGGAUCAGCAUGCCGCGGUGAAUACGUUCCCGGGCCUUGUACACACCGCCCGUCACACCAUGAGAGUCGGGAACACCCGAAGUCCGUAGCCUAACCGCAAGGGGGGCGCGGCCGAAGGUGGGUUCGAUAAUUGGGGUGAAGUCGUAACAAGGUAGC
rnacentral:rRNA from 1 species